GUAGAUGUCCUAGAAAAAACUGGUAGUAACUCAAUGUAGAUACACAUAGUCGAUGGAGUUACUUGCUAAUAACUGGCAAUGAGACAUAUUUGCUUCAAAUGAUGCCUUUAAAGUUUGAAAAGAUUUUUUUAAAUUCAAAUGUUGACUUUUUGUUACAUGAACAAAGAUACUUAUUUCAACCCCUCGACUAUAUUGAUACACUUAGUAUGUGGAGUUACUUGUCAAUAGCUGGCGAUGAAACUUUUAAACGUAACGUCUUUAAGGGCUGAGAAAGUUAGUUUGUUUCGUUAUAAUAGCUCUAAACUGAAAUGUUUCAAUAUUUUGAUUGGAUACUGUUGUCUG